CAUAAGCUGUUGGCGCCGGGAUAGAGCUGGGGGUCGCAGCAUCGCCAUGGCAGCGCUGAGACGGCACGUGUUCGUGGAGAAAGUUCUGAGGAGGCUUUUCCCUAGUGUUCCCUGUGCCCAAGAAAAGAGGGUACCCGUGGCUCCAGCUUCUGGAAACCCAGCCGAGAGGGUGGCCACUACGGACCUCAGGGGCAGGAGUGCCCCCACCUUGACAGGUGGAGACUCCAAGGUCCCUCCUCGAAGGCGGCUCUACACGGCGAGUUUGCCUCCUGAGGGGUACGUCCCAGCCCCCCCAGAGCCGCAGGCCAGCCCGGCCUCCGAGGACAGCUCAGGCAGCGAUGACGCGGGAAAAGGAUGCCCCCUCUCAGAUCAGGAUUUUCACGAUCAACCAAAGAGAAGAAGAGCUAGAAAGCAUAAAUCAAAGAAAAAUUUUAAAGAUCCCAAUAAUAUUCAUGGAGAACAAGAAGAAUUAGAGAAACAGCAGAGUCUUUUGCAAGAAAAAUUGCAGCCCCAGUGCACAGAUGGCCCCACCAUCAGCAGAAAUAAAAAAAGGAAACUGAAAAAGAAACAGCAAAUUAAAAGGAAAAAAGCAGCCGGCGUGAUCACCAAAGCUUCUGGCGUCAACUUCCUGUACCAGCCUGAGCAGAGCGACAGCGAACGCGACGUCGAGCAGCAAAGUGAUGGCGAGGAUGGCGCAGACGCCCGCGAGGGGGAUGGCGCAGACGCCCGCGAGGGGGAUGGCGCAGACGCCCGCGAGGGGGAUGGCGCAGACGCCCGCGAGGGGGAUGGCGCAGACGCCCGCGGGCACUGCAGUACAGACACCGGUGAGGAAAACCAUAAAGACAGCAACGAGGAAGGCGUUAAAAGUAUCAAUGAAAAGGCGGCUGGUAUCCUGAAUUUUCUAAAGUCAACACAAGAAAUUUAUUUUUAUGACGGUAUCUGCCAGGAUCCAGGCUCCGCCGUCCUCCUGGAAACCACUCAGGAGCUAUUUAAGCAUCUUGACAGUCACGGCCUGUCCCCCUCAGAUGUGCUCCUGCUGGAUCACAUGAAAAGCCUGUUACUUCUGCAAGAUACCCAAGGGCUGAAACGAGCCCUCGAAAUGUUCCCGGAAUGCUGCACACUGCCGGCAGGUAUGUAUUGACCGCUUAGUCCUUAUGCUGCUGCAGAUGCUUGUGUCCGUGUUGGUCCCGAAAACUUACACUCCACCAGGGCGGUCAGGAAUCAGAAAACGUGAGGACGCACGUACGGCUUGGAAGAAUGGAGGAGUGUGGUCCUCGUGUCCCUGCUUGCUGUAAAAGCAAUUCACAAGUCAGGGGCGCCUGGGGGGCUCAGUCGGCUAAGCGUUGUGAUCUCACGGUUCCUGAGUUCGAGCUCCGCAUAGGGCUCUGUGCUGACGGUGCAGAGCCUGCUUGGGAUUCUCUGUCUCUGCCCUUCCCUCGCUCAUGCUGUGUCUCUCAAAAAUAAAUAAAUAAGCUUAAUAAUAAUAAUAAUUUGCAUGAUAGGUGCAGAAAUGCCUGUGCAACCUGAUUUUCCAGACUUGUGAGCUAUGAACUAAUAGUUUAUUGGGGCCAAAUAUUGUCAGAGAAAAUUUCUCAUCUCUUUCUUCCUUCUCCACCACUGCAUUGCUAGAAGGUAAAUUUUUUCUAUCCUCUGAACACCUUGAAGAAGGGUGAAUUGUAGGGUUUUCCCUGGUUACUCGCUCAGCCUCGAUUGCUGAUUCCACACCAGCUGUUGGGUGCAGGAGCCACCUGUGUGCAAGUGUUCCCGACACCAUGGUCGUGACUUCUCGUUAGUAGCUUGAAAUGGGCUGAGGUGGGGACGCUAGGCCACAUGAACGUGCAGAUAGCAAACCCCAGAAAAUCGGGGUCUCUCGAGGGCCCCUCCCGUGCACACCCCAAACAGGCACUGGACAUGUGUUCAGACGCAUGAACGAAAAGGGGCCUGCCGAUUUCUUUGCGGGAAUGCCAAUGUAGCCGUGAUGGCAGUCCCACCAGAAAGCUCGAAAGCUCAGGCUGCACCCCAGAGCCCAGACAUCCCAUCAGGAGAAAGGACAGGCGAGUGCAGGGAGGCGCCUCCGAGGUCAGCUGCCACAGCCUCAGAGACCUGGGCAGGUGAAAGCCCGCCCUUGGGCACGGUGUCCCGGCGCGGAGACGAAGACGGGAUGAGGAGGUGAAACACGUCAUGUAUGCACUGGGGCCGCAGCCGGCAGAGAAAGAAAUCCGCAGGAGGGGACAUUCUUGCAGCCGAGGACAAAUGCGCAGGGAUGGAGUGCGUCGGGCGCCAUGUGGUGGGAGCAGGUGGUGGCUAUGGACAGGCAGGAGAGAGGCCUUCCUGGCUGUGGUGUCGGCCCCAGUGCAAAGUCGAGCCAAGGCACGAGCAAGACCCCAGCUGUCGGGUUGAGACCAGAGUGAAGUGUCCGGAGUGGGAGGCCGGGGGCUUUGAUUGUGCUCUGGCUGAAAGAGGCCGUCCGGAGGUGUGGUAGGUUCAGGUCGGCUGUGCAGGUGGAACCCACAGCAUCGCUGGCUGACCAGGCGUGGGGCCUGCACCCCCGGAAGAGCCUGGUGGCCGGUCAUGAGCUGUGACACUCGGGGUGAGACAGGGACCCAUGGGAGCCAGGGUCACAUGCUGACUGGACACCCAGCUGGGGGACUUAGGAUGAGGUCCUUCACGGAACAGAGAGGAUGGAGGCUGGAGACCCCGCCCAGGGCCACUGCAGGGGGAGGCCAGGGGGAGCCUGAAGGGAGGGGUUUCAAGAUGGCAGCAUCGCAGCGGAGGAGAGGCUGACAGACCCCAGGGCCCUUCUGCUGAGGAGCCAGGCUCGCUGGGCACGGGGCAGCCAUAGCUUCCUCGGAGAGCUCAAUCCAGGGUCCGCAUUCAUUGUUGGUUGUCCUAUACUGAGCAUUUAACUAAUUUAAAUUUCCAGAAGUUGUUUCUCAAAUUGUGAAAAGCCAGUUUUAUUAAAUUUAAUAUGAAGUUUUUGUGAGAUAAACAUAAGUCACUUAAAAAUUUUUUAAUUUUGGGGGGCACCUGGGUGGUUCAGUCGGUUGAGUAUCUGACUCUUGAUUUCAGCUCAGGUCAUGAUCCCAGGGUCAUGG